rnacentral:lncRNA from 1 species
UUUUUUUUCCCCACUUAUUGUUUUGAUAGUUUGGUCAUGUUUCAAUUUAAAUUUAUCUUUGGAUAUGUAGGAGCAGGGGCCAUAGAAGCUGUGUUUGAGGUACAUGGCUGUGAGUACACUCAGCAUUCUGCUGAAGACUCAAGACUCUGGCCAGCUUAGGGAACUCCAUAAAAUUCAGACCCUGGGCACUGCUAGAAAGCUAUUAGACCAACCCUAAACUAACAAUGACUUGUAAGAUGAGGUCCCAGUGUUCAGUUCGUGAUGAUUACAUUUUAGCUAGUGCUUAGGCUCUUACCACUAUGCACAAGUAUUCCGUGGGAAAAGUUCCUCGUAGUCAUUUGGCAUGUGAUACAAUGAUCACAUAAGUCAAUGGAAAGUUUCAUUCUGCUGAUGCCAAUGGAAUUUGGAUCCGGCGCUGUUUCUGGCACUGAUUAACUCGUCCUGGUUGUCAAAGCUAAUAGUUUCUUUAGAUGGCAAAUGGUAUAUAAUUAACUGAAGAAAAAAUACACACCCUAAUUUAAAGUAACUAGCACAGCUACCAUAUCCUAGCACGUAUUAAUGCAACUGAAAUUUGGUAACUUUGUGUGAAGUAGUAUCAGAGGCAACAUGACAUGAAGAAAAUGGUAUGUCUAAACCCAUGGACACUUGAAACUUCCCACUAGUGGAAAUAGUUCACUUUUGAGGUUUUCCCUUCCUGCCUUUCCCUUUGUCUUUCUAGCAGCCUUGACCUCACAGUUUAAGCAUGUGGUGUAGUGUUGGCGCUUGAGCCCUGGGCUGACCUUGGACUUGUACAAAGGAAGGAUGAUAGGCAGCUUCUAACUCUCUGUGGGUUGUCAAGCAUUGGAACAGGCUGCCCAGGAAACUGGUGGAAUCACCAUCCCUGAAGUAUUUAAAAGACGUGGCACUUAGUGACAUGUUUAGUGGUGAACAUGGCAGUGCCAAGUUAAGGGUUGGACUUGAUCUUGAAAGUCUCUUCCAACCUAAAUGAUUCUAUGAUUCUAUGAAAAAUGUGGGCUCUGUCCCAGAGAUCUGAUAGUCUGGCCAUUGGACAGGAAGGGAAAUCUUUAAUCAACAUUGCACGAGUUGAACAUUACAGAAAUACAAGGCAUUCAGAGAGGUUCACUAAAAAUGGGACUUGAAGGCACGUUCAUGAGAAGUGUGGGGGUUUUCCAAGGUUGGAGGAUUUUUUGCAUAGGCUGAAAAAAUAAAACUUAACAGGAUUCUUGCUGUUUCAUAUCUGUGGUUUUUUGUUAUGGGAUGUGUAGGAUAUUCACAUGUUCUAAUUGCUUAUGUUCAUUCUAGAUGGGAUACACUCCUUUGCAUGUUGGCUGCCACUACGGAAACAUAAAAAUUGUUAACUUCCUUCUUCAACAUUCUGCAAAAGUUAAUGCCAAAACAAAGGUGAGUUUUCCGCUUCUGUCUCACUUAUUAUGUGGAGGCAGCUUGUGCACUGUGCUCACUGUAGCCUUUCCCCUUCCCUGCAUCCGCAGAACGGGUACACACCGCUGCACCAGGCUGCACAGCAGGGGCAUACCCACAUCAUCAACGUCCUGCUCCAGAACGGCGCGUCGCCCAACGAGCUCACUGUGAAUGGAAACACUGCCCUUGCCAUUGCAAAGCGACUUGGCUACAUUUCAGUCGUUGACACAUUGAAGGUGGUGACAGAAGAGACCGUGACUACAAUUGUAAGUACAGUUCGGUAGUGAAUGGAAGAAUUUUUCCUAAACCAGUGUAUUCAGCUUUGUUUAGUUACACGUCUACUGAGAUUCCAGCUUAAUUUCUAUCUAUUUCCUUUUAGCAGUAUAAAGUGGACAUUAAGUCAAAUAUGAGCAAUAUAUUUUUAAGGCAGUAGACACUAUUAGGAUGUAUGCAGAAAGAGUAUCAACCGAGCAAAAAAUCAACAGUGUUAAUGACUGGUCAUAGCUGUCAUAUUUUUCCACACAGCUUGUUGUUUAAGACAUAAACCACAUGAAUAUGAGCCGGUUUGUGGUUGAAAAGACAUUCCUACACAUUUGUGUAAAUAGAAGUUGCUUCUGCCUUUUCAGAGCAUUUACCAAGGGACUGUCAUAUAAUGGUUUGUAUUUGGACUGAGAGGACCUAUUCCAAUCUAAGAAGUGGUUGGAAUUGACUUUAAAGCAACUCAUUGUGUAGUUUCUGGCAUCUUCCGAAAGAUGGUGAAAGGAUGUCUUCUACAAGCAGCCACAGUCAGCUCCUGCAAUCCUAGAUAUCCAUUUGCUGACAGAUACAUGAACUCCAGCUCAUCUGU